UACGUAGGGUGCAAGCGUUGUCCGGAAUUAUUGGGCGUAAAGAGCUCGUAGGCGGUUUGUCGCGUCUGCUGUGAAAACUGGAGGCUCAACCUCCAGCCUGCAGUGGGUACGGGCAGACUAGAGUGCGGUAGGGGAGAUUGGAAUUCCUGGUGUAGCGGUGAAAUGCGCAGAUAUCAGGAGGAACACCGGUGGCGAAGGCGGGUCUCUGGGCCGAUACUGACACUGAGGAGCGAAAGCGUGGGGAGCAAACAGG
rnacentral:rRNA from 1 species